rnacentral:tRNA from 1 species
AUUUAUAUAGUUUAAAAACCAUAAAACAUUUUAUUUUCAAUAAAAAAAUAAUAAUUAUAUUUAUAAAUA